GCAAUGUUGAAAUAUUGUCUGAGACAGCUCUGAUAUUGUCAACCCUAUUCUGCAAACAGCCCCUAAGCAGCAGAUUAGGAUACUAUUUAGGGAUUACUUUAUGAUGUUUUGAUUUAUUAACCAGUCAUAUUAGUGCAAGGUGUAUUUAUUUCUUUGGCAUUUCAGCUCGGCAGCAGCAUCUCUCAGCAUUCACAUUUUCAAGUUAACACGUGAUCAGCAAAUUAAAUCAAGGACAGCGAUAGAAGUGAAUCUUUUGAUCAACUAAUGAAAGUCUUCAAGGCACACUGUUAGUUGGUCUCAAGUCCAUGCGGAUGAUUUUCACUGACACGUUGAUGUUGAAACCCUGUCCUGCACUGAUACUCCCACUGGCUCCUGGUAAUUUGUUGGUGUUGUUUAUUGUUGUGCC